GCCUGACAAAGAUACAGAAAAGGAUGGGAACAAGGAGUGGCAAAGUCAGGCAGUCCAUGGGAUGAGAGAGAUCCAAAGUGGAACAGCUUGUCAACUAGGCAGAAUGCGGUCACUGGUGGGCAUUAAGAAGCUAUUUUAUUAGAAAGUCAUUGGUGGGUAUUAAGAAACUAUUUUAUUAGCACAAUAGGAUACAGUAACUAUUCAUCCACGGGUUAUGAAGGGUGACAGCAAGCAUAAAAGUUCUUUGACCUUGAGGGAUGGAGACACACAAGAUGGAGGUGGUUUCUCCUUUAGAUUUUUAAAGAUUGGAGGAAACUCGCUAGAGUUCAUGAGCUGAGAGGGAAGUGGUGAAAAAGACAGCAGGUACAAGGCAAAGGGAAAGGAAUGACUGAUGUGACAAAACCAUGAAUAACAAUGUUUUCAUGUUAAAUGGCGGAGAUGGAAGUUGAGGGUGAUUUUACUAGAUACCCUUGAUAUUCUUGGUAGAGCUAUCUACACAUAAUAAAGUGUGAUACGAAAGUCUGGACUAGAGGGUUUAAGAUGAGAGGAAAAAAAUCUAAAGCAACAAAUUUGAGGACUGUCAAAAUGAGCAAACACUUGGCACCAGGGCCCAGCCAGAGGUAGAAAUUUGUAUCAGAUGCAACUGGUGUAGAAAGCUGAUUUCUCUAGCAAUUUAACCUAUGCACACAUCAAUCUGGGCUGACAGAAAAGCACAUGCAAGAAUGUCUACGUGUGCACACAUGUCACAGACGAAGACAGCCAUCUGUGUAACAGGGCUGCAUUAUAAUUCCACCCAGCCUUACAUCCAGGUGGAUAUUACUCCUCUCCAGAGAAGAGAUUAUAGAGGGACUAAAUGCCAAUUUGUAAAAUGGGGGCUGCCUAGUGUUCCUUACUUGUAGUUUUUAUUAGUAUGUAAUCACCUACCAACAGGUAAAUGUAUGCCUGUUUACUUGAAAUGUCAGAAUGAGAUGGCAGGGAAAGAGAGAGAGACAACAUGCACGGAAGGAAAGGAAAUCUCACUGUGUCCUUGGGAGCCAAGGGGCUACAUCCUAAUGAGAGUGCUCUGCACUUAUCAUUUUAACAAGAGAAAGAACGAGGAAAUGUCCUCCUGCUUAAAAAGAAGGCAGGGUCUAUCAAUAAUAACCUAAGGGCCUUCAUUAUCUUUCUGAACCAUCGCUCCUACUAUGUAAGAGGUGCAGUCUCCAGUGCUAAAAUGCGGCUAAUUAAUUCUGUGGGAGUUCUUUAUGAGAGCGUUACCCCUCUGCUGGGUAACUGAGCUCCACAUUCACAGUCCUGCCAUUCCCACGUCUCCACGGGGGGAUAAGCAGGGCCAAUGAAUUCCAUGCCAUGCCCUGGUUCGUGAGGCUGGUAGAAAUUCUUUGCAAUUUAAGACCACUGCUGUGACAUUACCUACAAGGCUUCUUUUCCAUGAAUCUGUUACAUCCAACAGUAGGAACCGGCGGGUCCGUGGCUGAUGGAUGCUACAAGUACUAACCAGCAACGAGAGCAUCUACCACAGCUGAACUACUGUGAGUUCAUCCAUUUGCUUAUUAUCAGAAAUUUUCUGGGUAUUUGGAAAGGCUAUUGUGCCAAUGUCAGCAUCCCCUCCAGGUGAAAUAAUCACUGAAAAGUUUAAGAUUAACAACUGAAUGACCAGUGCCACCUAUCGUAGUCAUGGGGAGCAUGUUUACUGUUAGAACAACAGGGUUCCGCUUGGGAUCCCAAGGAGAAUCUUUUUGUUUCUUUUAGAACAAAUGGCCUUACAGUGACUCAAAGUACAUUGUCUUUAGCUAAAUAAUAGUCAUGUCUAAUAAAAUGAUACCAAUGGUCUUGGUAGCUUCAGAGCACUUAUGAAAACAAUGUUUCAGCUAAUACUUAGCACAACUAGUGACUCUGUGUGGGACAAGUGUUAUAAAUGGGGAACUGCAGGUCCUCGUCAAACUGCCAUCAAGUCUAACCCUGAGUACUCUCAGAAUUGGGGGUCGUCCUUAAACUCGAAGAGAUCUGAGUAGAAUUUUGUAUGACUAAUUCUGAGGAAGUUUUUUUAGCCUGAGCCUAAAUGUGUUGCUCUGCAGUUUCUCCCAAGUAGUCCUGUUUCUUCCCUAUGGAACAACAAAAUAGAAAUCUAUUUCUCUUCCACAGGAUAGCAGUUUAGACGUUCUUUUACUCCCAAAUCAAUCUUCCACAACUAGAGCAAUCUGAUGCUCUUUGGCAGUUUUUCAUACAUGAGAAUGUGUGUCAAAAUCUAUUUUUUCUAGUCCUACACUGUUCAAGACAUUAGCUACCUGUGGCUAUUUAAAUUAAAAUGACAUAAAAUUAAAAAUUCAAAUCCUAGUUACACUAUCUGCCUUCAGCCCCGUGUGACUUGUGGCUACUCUGUUGG
rnacentral:lncRNA from 1 species